UUUUUUUUUUUUUGACAUCUGAUAAAAUUGGAACGAUACAGAGAAGAUUAGCAUGGCCCCUGCGCAAGUUUAUCUCCUUCUUUGUAAUUAAUAUUUCUGAUUGAU
rnacentral:snRNA from 1 species